UACCCUGUAGAUCCGGAUUUGUG
rnacentral:miRNA from 1 species